AGCCUUUCCUGUUCCCUCCCACCUCCUCUCUCAUAUGAACCCUACUCCCUUUCUCUCUUUCCUUAGAAAACAAAUGGGCUUCUGAGGGAUAAUAAUAAAAUAAAAUAUUAUAAGAUAAAUAAAAAACUAAUACAUCAGAACAUAUAUAUGUGUGUGUAUAUGUAUGUAUAUAUAUAUAUCCCUAGUUUUGCUUUAUCUUACCUUAUAUUUUAUAAUAAAUAUAACUAUAUUAUAUAUUAUAAUAUAUCAUCUUAUAUUAUAUAUAUCAGAUAUUAUAUAUUAUAUGUUAUACACACACACAUAUAUACAAACACACACACACACACACACACACACACACACACACACAUAUAUAUAUAUAUAUAUCCAAAGAGAAGGCACAAGAAUUAGAGACUCACACACAGAAUCUCACAAAAACACAAGACUAGAAGCCAUGAUACACACAGAGGACCUGAUGCAGACCCAUGCAGGCCCUGUGCAUGCUACCUCAGUCUCUGAGUUCAUGUGAGCCCUGCUCAUACUGAUUUACAGGAUCUGGUUCCCCUGGAUCUCCUCCUGGCUUCUACACUCUUUUCCUGAGCCCCAAGGACGGGAUUUGAUGGAGACAUCCCAUUGAGGGCUGAGUGUUCCAAGGACUCACUCUGUAUAAUGUCUGUCUGUGGGUCUCUGUGUUUUUUUUUUCCCGUCUACUGCAGGAGGAAGCCUCUCUUAUGAUAACUGUGUUCUUAUUUGCUUAUUUGUUUAUUUAUUUAUUUAAUGCCAGAAUUCUGAGACCACAAGUUUCUCCUGGAUAUACAUCCUGUGCAUUAUAGGUAUGGACUCACUUUUUUUCAUAUAUACAUCCCUUGGGGUAGACAUUAUCAUCAUUUUGCUUAUGAGGAGACUGAAGUAGCUGAAAGACCACCUGAGCACACCUCAGAGCGGCUCCUUUCUGAUGAAUCCAGGGACCUGUCUCCAUGCCUUUUUUCUGUGUAGACCUGCAGCUGGGACUCAGCCAACUGUCCUUUACCACUGCUCCUGCCUCUGGACAUUUCAGGAGGCGACAUGAGCUCAUGAAUCCUGUGUGCUCAAGUCCAGGCUCUAACUGUGUAGCAUUUGUGGAAAAGCUCAUGACUGGAUGGGUGUUAGGUUGCCGGGGACUCCCAUCUGACAGCACGGGUGCCGGGAGGCGGGGGGAUGCCUUUGUGCAGAAUCUGCACUCAGAAGAUCCCUGUUUACCCAACAAAAUUGUGCUUCUGCAAAAAUUGUGUCUAUCUAGAGGUGGAUAGAGACAGAGACUCCAUCUUCUCUUCCUUGGGUUGAUAGGCAAUGAUUCAAGGUAGAUGUUCAUGUUCACAAAUACUAAAGGGAAUGCUGUAUUAUGGAAGGAAGAAUGUAGGCUUUGGAAUCAUAUGCAUUAACAUUUGCUCACAAGUGAGACUCUGCCGGGUGAUUUUCCUUUGUUAACUGUUACAUGGGAUAUGAGUGCACGAAGGUGUGCCUACUGAUGUGGGUGGAGGCCAGAGAUCGAAAUCUAGCGUCUUCAGUAACCACUGCCUACCUUAUUCUUCAAGACAAGGUCUCUCACAGAAUCAGAGCUCAUAGCUCUGGCUGGACUGGCUGGCCAGGGAGCACCUGGGCUCUGUUUGUCAUCUGCCCCACCCAUCUCUGCCCCACCCCUCUCUUGCUGUUGGGGUUAUAUACAUGGGGCAACAUGCCUGGAUUUUUAUGUGUAUUCUAGGUUCAUUUAUGUUUCUGCAAUUAAAAAUACCCUAACAGAAAGCAAACUAGGGAAGGAAAGGUUCGUUUGGUUUACAGUUCCACAUUACAGUUCAUUUUUGUGGGAAAGACAAAGCAAGAGCCUUAAGUAUCACAUCCAUAAUCAAGGGCAGAAAGAUAAUGUAUGUAUGCAUCCUUGCUUGCUCUCAGCUGGCUUUCCCUUCCCUUGUACUCUUCAAGACAAUGCUCUACAGACAUGCCCACCCACUAGCCUGAUCUAGAUAAUUCCUCAUAAAGACUCUCUUCCCAGUGAUUUUGGGUUGUGUCGAGUUGACAGAUAAAGGAAACCAGCACAAUAUGGGAGUUGGCUAUCGAAACUCAGAUUCUUACACUUGCAAGGCAAGCAGUUCACCCACUUAGCCAUCUCCCUAGCCCCUUGAUUAAUCUUUAGGACAUAAUUGCUCCAUCUGAAAAAAAAAUAGGAUAUGCUGUCUCUUUACAGGGUCAUUACGAUAUUGCACAUUAUAUAAAUUGCAUUAGUAUAUAGUUUUGUUUUAUUUUAUAGUAAAACCAGGCUAGGCUACACUGUAAUAGCAAGUAAUUCUUGAUCUUGGUUAUAUGAUAUAAUUAUUUACAUCUUGUGUCAUAAGUCUGCCCGUGGCUUCUCACUCUGAUAGAAAAGCAUUGUCUAAAGCACAGCUAAAUACCUGACAAAGGGCAACUUAAUAAAGGGGGGGUUUAUCUUGGCUCGCAGUUCUUAGGGAUACAGUCCAUCAUGGUGGGGAAGGUAUGGUGGCAAGUGUGGCAGAUAGCUGGUCAUGUUGAGUUCACAGUCAAGAAGCAGAGAAGGAGGAAUGUUGGCAUCUCUCUCCUGUCUACUUUUCACUCAACCUAUAGAAUAAUACCAUCACCCAUAUUUAGGGUGGGUCUGCCUUCUUCAGUUAAGCCUUUCUAGACAAACACACACUCACACCCUCACACACUCACACAGUCACAUACAUAUGCUUAGAGAUAUGUUUCCAUGGUGAUUCUCAACCCAUUCAAGUUGAAAAUGAAGGUUAGCCAUUAGAUCUAUCAUGUAGUUAUAUUCCUCUUUGAGUGAAUUUUGUACUGCUUUCUCUAGUACCUACAUUACUCUCCCAUUUACUGGCAUUAUCUUAUCCCUUUGAGGUUUAUCUCCUUGCCUGCACCAUCCAGGAAGAGCUGGGGAAUACUUGUGGCUCUGUUUCACAUUAUUUGUGCAAAGGACAGAGUCUCUCUUGUGUCAUUAAUCAUGGCUUAAUCUGGCAUUUAUUACUCCCUCCUCCUUGUUUUACUUUGUAAUUUUCUCCAGAGGUCAUGGCUAGAGGCAUGGGUUAUACUUUAAAUCCUUAAAAAGAACAUGAAAAUGCAGAAGUUAUCCUUUAUAUGCCUUUAUUGGACUUUUGUCAUUUUUUAUUACCACUAAUAUACUACUUACACCUACAGACUAUCUAUCACUGAACUUCUCCAAGAUCCUUAGCAAUGCCAAGUAAGGAAUGUCUGUGAGAUCUAAUAUAGAGAUUCAGCCCCAUAGAGAAUUACAAGAAUAAAAUUAAUUUGAGGAAUUCUUUUAAUUUCAGUUAGCAUCUGACUUGUAGGUGUGCGAGAUGUUUCUGAUUUUAUGCUACUGUGGGAAAGGGACACUUGGGGAAGUUUAGAGUCUAAUUUUUAGACACUCAUCCACCCCUCUCCACCCUCUAUGAAACACUGAAUUUGAACAAAUAUCUUACCCUUGGAAUUUGUAUUUAUGUCCCCCUGGUGUUGAUCCUUUAACUCUCGAAAUGGGGACCUCUUCCACCCUGUCUUGACCCUCAAGUGUGAAAGGCUUCUGCUCUCCUCUGUUUGUGGCACCAGAUAAAGACACUUUGAGAUAUACAGUUUUGUAUAUAGAGAUAACAGCAGUAAUUUCCUUCCUUAGUGUCCUAGUUAGGAUUUCUAUUGCUGCAACAAUACACCAUG
rnacentral:lncRNA from 1 species